rnacentral:rRNA from 1 species
GACGAACGCUGGCGGCGUGCUUAACACAUGCAAGUCGAACGAUGAAGCUGGAGCUUGCUCCGGUGGAUUAGUGGCGAACGGGUGAGUAACACGUGAGCAAUCUGCCCUUGACUCUGGGAUAACUGCGGGAAACUGUAGCUAAUACCGGAUACGAGGCUCGAAGGCAUCUUCGGGUCUGGAAAGAAUUUCGGUCAAGGAUGAGCUCGCGGCCUAUCAGCUUGUCGGUGAGGUAACGGCUCACCAAGGCGAUGACGGGUAGCUGGCCUGAGAGGAUGAUCAGCCUCGAUGGGACUGAGACACGGCCCAUACUCCUACGGGAGGCAGCAGUUGGGGAUUUUGCACAAUGGAGGCAACUCUGAUGCAGCGACACUGCGUGAAGGAUGAAGGUUUUAGGAUCGUAAGCUUCUUUUGCGAGGGAGUAAUCUUGAAAGUACCUCGCGAAUAAGGACCUGCUAACUACGUGCCAGCAGCCGCGGUAA